GGAAGUGCAGACAAACGAGUGGUGGGGCAGAUCGGGACACACUGACAGAGGCCGAAGCAGCAGGGGGAUGCAGCCACCUGAAUGAAGGAUUCAACGCCUGUGUACAGAUAAUGCCUGCAGUGCGGGUAUCGCAACGCGGAGUGGCGUAGGGGAAGAGAAGCCCAGGCCACCCGCGGCGGAAUCGGCUGCCCUUCUCGUGACUUGCUUAUUGAACAUUUGAACGCUUAUUGCAAAAAUUGUGGAAGGAAGCUCGAGCUGAGAUCCUCAGCCUUUAGUUUUUAUUACCUUUAAAAAUUGAAGAACUGUUUUCAUCUAUUCUUUUACUCAGUAAUUUAAAUAAAGUGUUAAAUUAAGUAUU